UACGUAGGGGGCAAGCGUUGUCCGGAAUCAUUGGGCGUAAAGAGCGCGUAGGCGGUCCGAUAAGUCGGCUGUGAAAAGUCAGGGGCUCAACCCUUGGAAGCCGGCCGAUACUGUCGGACUAGAGUCCGGAAGAGGCGAGUGGAAUUCCCGGUGUAGCGGUGAAAUGCGCAGAUAUCGGGAGGAACACCAAUAGCGAAGGCAGCUCGCUGGGACGGUACUGACGCUGAGGCGCGAAAGCGU
rnacentral:rRNA from 1 species